UCUCUAGGAGCUUAUCCUUCGGAUUUGCAGUACGUCCUUAACUUUUCCUUGGGGAAUGUAUAGGAAAAAGAAAGAAAAUCAGGAACGGAAACAGGAAUUCAAAUACCACUUAUCCCACGAGGGAGCCGAGACCCAAACUGCGAGCCUCUCUUUGAGCAGCCAGGAGCCAGGCUUCCUGGGGUGGGGAACUCAGGGCUCGCUUCUCAGGUCUAGUUCCUCAGGCUUGGGCUCCACUCUGGCUGCGAAGGCCCCAGACCACCUCACCCCACCCUGAGAACGACCUCUUGCUCAGCCACAUGAAGAAGCUGUGGUCUGUGUAACACCAGUACCUACUGGCCUCUCAAGGAGCACACUUUCCACUCUGGAUCCAUUCAGCAUCCAGUCAGCCCAGCUGAGAACCCCAGAGGAGGAAGCACCUGCUUGCCCUGACUUGAAGCUGCAGUUUGCUUGCCAUCCAAAAUGAGUCAUGAAGGCACCGUGGAGCGGAUUUUACUCAUCCCCCAGGAAUGGACUCUUGGAAGGCUCCGGAAUGACUAGCUUCAAGUGUUCUGUCUCAGGCACAGGGCAUUUUACCCCUCUCUAUGUCUGCAGUCACUUCCCUUCUGGACACUUCCUGUUUCUGGGAGCAGGCAGCGAGCCAGGCAGAGCUCAGCC
rnacentral:lncRNA from 1 species